UGGGGAAUUUUGGACAAUGGGCGAAAGCCUGAUCCAGCAAUGCCGCGUGUGUGAAGAAGGCCUUCGGGUUGUAAAGCACUUUUGUCCGGAAAGAAAUGGCUCUGGUUAAUACCUGGGGUCGAUGACGGUACCGGAAGAAUAAGGACCGGCUAACUACGUGCCAGCAGCCGCGGUAAUACGUAGGGUCCAAGCGUUAAUCGGAAUUACUGGGCGUAAAGCGUGCGCAGGCGGUUGUGCAAGACCGAUGUGAAAUCCCCGAGCUUAACUUGGGAAUUGCAUUGGUGACUGCACGACUAGAGUGUGUCAGAGGGGGGUAGAAUUCCACGUGUAACAGUGAAAUGCGUAGAGAUGUGGAGGAAUACCGAUGGCGAAGGCAGCCCCCUGGGAUAACACUGACGCUCAUGCACGAAAGCGUGGGGAGCAAACAGG
rnacentral:rRNA from 1 species